CCCACCAGCCCCCUCUGAGUACAACAAUGAGAUCCUUGUCAUCCCUCUCUUUCCUUCCUCAUUUCCUUCCUUUAGCCCGCCUGUCCCCUCCCCCUACCCCCUUCCUUUCCUUACUCCUAUAACCUCUUUGUAACUCCCACCACCUUUCCCUUCUUCCUCCGCCCUCUCUUUCUCUCUCACCCUCUCUCCACUUCUCUCUCUCUCUCUCUCUCUCUCUCACCCUCUCUCCAGUUCUCUCUCUCUCUCCACCUUCCCUUCCUUAUGUUUACUACCUUUCCAAAGGUUUCAUUGGGCUUACGGUGUCAUGCACGGUUGUCGUGGUAACCCAGCUGUGAGUGACCAACACUUCCUGGCCGGUCGUCGGGAGCAGAGGAGGGAAAAAACAGCAGCUGGAUUCACCAUCGGUAUUAAGAAGCAAAUUUUCAGUUCACGAGUCUCUAUCUCUCUCUCUCUCUCUCUGUCUGUCUGUCUCUCCCUCUCUCUGUCUACAUGCCUCCCUUUCUCUCUUUCUCCCCCUCUCUCCUCUACCCCUCCUCUCUCUCUCUAUUUCUUUCUCCCUCUCUCUCAUCUACCUCCUCACCUCUCUCGGUGGGCAUGUGUGUCUUUUGUAUGUGUUGAAUAUGAAUAAACUGUAUUUACAUGUAUUUACGUAUAUGCAUAUGCACAGUGCAUAAGAGCUUGCAGCCUCAUACCCACGAAGGCUGUAAUCGCUGCCAAAGGUGCUUCAACAAAGUACUGAGUAAAGGGUCUGAAAACUUAUGUAAAUGUGAUAUUUCCGGUUUUUAUUUGUAAUACAUUUGCUAAAAAAAUUUAAAAAACUGUUUUUACUUUGUCAUUAUGGGGUAAUGUGUGUAGAUUGAUGAGGAAAAACAACAAUUGUAUCCAUUUUAGAAUACGGCUGUAACUUAACAAAAUGUGGAAAAAGUCAAGUGGUCUGAAUACUUUCUGAAUGCAAUGUAUAUGUUAAAGUAUGAAUAUGUAUAAUGUCUUACUGAUAUGUGUACGUGUGCCUGAAAGUAUCCAAUAAUCUACUGGUUCUGUGUGUAUUCAUCGGUGAGCUUGUCUGUGAAUGUGUACUGUGUUGUAUUUGUGUACUUCUCUUUUGCGGGCUCCGCCUGGUUUAAUAUAAAUGGCAAUCGCCUUACUGUAAAGGGAAUGGGGUGCUAUUUGGGAUGCACUCUCAGCCUCCAGACCAGACCAGACGGUCAGAUUCGAGAGAGAGAGAGAGAGAGAGAGAGAGAGAGAGAGAGAGAGAGAGAAGAAGAGAGAGAUAACUAGAGUGAGAAAUAGAAAGAGUGAUAGACAGGGGGAGAGAAAGAGAGACAGAGGGGGGGAGAGAGAGAGAACACUGCCAAAUAUCAGUAUCAGAGGGCAGAAGGGGAGCGUACAUUUGAGAUUGAAAGAGAGAGGGAGGGAUAGAAUGACAGAGAGAUGGAGGGAUGGGGUAAAUAGGUUAGUGGAAAACGGCCAAGGGGUGAACAGUUCACUCUGACAAUACAGGGGCCAUUUCGCCGAAUCGGUGCCUUUUCCGGUCUCCAGGACAUUACAUGUAUAAAUAUGCAUGAAAAGUAUCUGUAUAAUACAUUAUAUAAGUGUCCUGCACUUUGUCCUAAUUGCAAUUUGAAGACGCAUCAUGUAAAACCUUAAUAAAAACUACCCAGAACACUGAUAAAAUAGGAUUUUAACCCGUCCCGUCUCACUACACUUAACCAUGAAAUAUAAUGAUUAGAAUCCUUCAGAAAUUCACAAGAUAGUUAGUUAAAAUACACAUUUUAGUCGUUGUCCCCAGGUUUUCACUCAGUCCUGUUAACCUGACACAUUCCCCCCUCUAAAAAUGUGGGACAUUCCACUAGUCACAUGAUCAACAGGAAGUAGCAUCAUUUGAGUCUCCUGAAGGCCAUGGGAAGACCAAAAGUAAGUUCUCUCACUCUGCUUCUGUAUUCGUUUUUAUCAUAUUGUAAGUAUGACCGAGAAGUCCUGUUACCUAAAUUAUUUCAUAUAAUUUUGUUUUUUUAAAGAUAGUUUUGGUAAACCACUUGAAGGUGCUAAAUGUUCUCAUGCUAUUAGCAUUGAUGCCACGUGGCUACAUUUCAUGCAUUUGCUAAUGCUACGCUGAAAACUCAGGCUAAAUAUGAAGGGUAACAGGACUGAAUACGAGUAACAGGAGUGAGAGGUUUGAAUGAAAUAGCCAUUUGAAAUGUGUAUCUGGUAUAUACAUUGAUUAAUACUAUUCUCUUGAUUUGAAGUUUUACAGUUGGAAUUACUGAAGGUGCUUUCUGUUUUACAACCUGAACACAUUACUUACAGGGAGCCAACCCGACUAAGCGCUGCAGAGAAGCGGCGGCGCUCUCGCGUUCGACGCGAUGCCGUGCCCAGAGAGGAGAGAGAGAUACUUCAAAAAGGAACAGCAGAAAUACUGGGAGGACAUAGCAUCAGGCAGGAAGUGGAGAGAGACUUACGACAGGAUCAAGUCCAGGAAAGUAGCCCUAAAGCACUUCACCACACCUCCAGAGAGCCCCCGGCUUUCACCAGACAGAGCUGAUAAUCCAGAGCCAAGCACUUCCGGGUCAGGAUGAGAGUUAGCUCUAGUGCCAAACUAGAGACUUUCUAAGAAAAGAGGAAGAUGGAGAACCCAUACUGUGCAGAGGCAGGAGCCAGACACACAUGCUGCAGGGGGAGGAGCGAUACUCACACCUUCUCUCUCUUUCUCUCUCUCUCUCUCUCCACCGCCCACCCUACCCCGCACACACACACAAGCACGCACUCACAUACAUGCACACACACUCAUGCAAAAGCACGCACACACACUCAUGCGAAAGCACUCACACACACUCAUGCAAAAGCACGCACACACACUCAUGCGAAAGCACUCACACACACUCAUGCAAAAGCACGCACACACUCAUGCAAAAGCACGCACACACACUCAUGCAAAAGCACGCACACACACUCAUGCAAAAGCACGCACACACACUCAUGCAAAAGCACGCACACACACUCAUGCGAAAGCACUCACACACACUCAUGCAAAAGCACGCACACACUCAUGCAAAAGCACGCACACACACUCAUGCAAAAGCACGCACACACACUCUUUCGAAAGCACUCACACACACUCAUGCAAAAGCACGCACACACACUCAUGCGAAAGCACUCACACACACACAAUCGUUACUGCUUUGAUGUUGCUAUUUAGACUAAGAUCUUUUUUUUUGCCAAAUAUAAUGACCUCUGUUUUAUCUUUGUUUAAUUUAAGGAAAUUCUGUGACAUCCAGUUAUUCUCA